rnacentral:lncRNA from 1 species
CAUUGCUACAGCUCUGCCAAUCGACAAGUGGCUUCACAGACAGGAGCCUAAGUGAUAUGAUUGACAAAGAAGAAUAUGCGUUGGCAACAAGUGCUUGAUUCACAUUUUAAACAAAACACAGCAGGCGAAUUUCCCACUGAGUUCAACGUUUGGUCAAGGGAUACAAGUUCCUAUAAACACAUUAAUAGUUAUGCCGGCGACUAAAUCAAUCUCCUCAUCUAUCAACAGGCCAACAGCAGCAAGGGUCACAUCUGGGGAAGAGCCAGUUUAAGCUGCUAGAUUUUUCAAGCUACUUUCUCAAACAGAAAGGAGGCUGUGAAGACGGCACAGUGAAUGGAUACGUUCCUCUACUCUGCUACCAAGACCACGACAAAGCACGGGAAAGGAAACAUGACUCAGAUGAAUUCUCAAAUGAGGAAGCUCAUCCUUCUGGUGUGUGCGAGUAUGCUGUGACAGAGAUUUCUGGGUUAUUAUUGUUUUGUUUGGUGGUAUGGGGCAGAGGAACACAGGCCCCCAUCUCCCUCCCCCUCCCAAGAAGCAUACUGGAAGAGUUUUGGCAAACUUUUGGAGGCAUUUCACUUUCUCUAUUUUUGGGAGAUUUUUGACCUUUCUUAAAGACUUUAAUUGUCUGGGAUUGUCACAUCUAAUUUCCUUAAAUAACCAUGAGAGGAAAAAAAUUGCCAAGAAAACGAAAGCCAUAAUGAAAUCUGCACUAUUUUGGGACACAGAAAGGAGCUUACAUACCACACCAAGUGUGUCAAGCCUGUGGAGAACUCAUCUGAGCCAAACUGUCAAAGUGCACUAGAUACAACCAAAUGCAAUAGGCUUAGUUGUGGUGGUUCUAAUGAAACAAAUGAAGAGAGAAAUAUAUGACAACCAGAGCUGGAUUUACAACACCGGCAGGCCUGUGAAGAAUGAAAAAGUAUCUGGAGGUACAAUGGUGGGUUUUAACUGAAACCAACUCAUGGGGGACUUGUGGGUAAUUCAUUCUUCUUGGCAUUUGAAAAAUUCAAGGCUGUGCG